rnacentral:lncRNA from 1 species
UGGGGUUUCUCUCCUGAGAGUUGUCACCUUGGAAGCCAUGGGCAUCCAUCAGCUGUCACUCCCUUGCGUACAGUUGCUCCUUGGCAGACCUCCUGAGGUUCUAUGUAAAUGAAGUCUCUACCUACCCACUUCUGUGCUUCCUCUUACCUGCCAAACACACACAGGCCCAUCACUAGCACUGUUUACAAACCUCCUGUCCAGCCUCCAUGUGAAGCUUUUAUAGACACAGCGAAACAAAAACACUUGUCCUGUAAGCACAAGCACACAUACGCACACACACACACACACACACUAGAUGCAAACCCCUCUGUUUUGCUUAUUUUAUUUAUUAUUGUGUGUGUAUGCAUGGAAUAUGUGUGGACACACUUUCCACAGCAUCCGUGUGAAGGACAGAGAACAGCUGGAGUUGGAGUUGAUUCUCCCCUCCCCACCUUUAUGUGGGUCCCAGCCAUCAAAUUCAGCUCUUUGGGCUUGACAGCGAGUGCCUUUCCCUGUUGAGUUGUCUCGCUGGGCCUGUUUUUGUUUUCUGAAUAAAAUUUUGUUUUUAUUUUA